UGAGAGCGAGACAGAUCUGAGAGUGAGACAGGUCUGAGAGUGAAUCUGAGAGUGAGACAGGUCUGAGAGUGAGAUAGAUCUGAGAGUGAGACAUGUCUGAGAGUGAGACAGGUCUGAGAGUGAGUCUGAGAGUGAGACAGAUCUGAGAGUGAGACAGGU